GCGGUCAUGGCGAAGCUGGUAGAUGCGCAACGUUGAGGUCGUUGUGGGGGAAACCCCAGGGAAGUUCGAAUCUUCUUGACCGCA
rnacentral:tRNA from 2 species